UACGUAUGGUGCAAGCGUUAUCCGGAUUUACUGGGUGUAAAGGGAGCGCAGGCGGCGCGUUAAGCCUGGUGUGAAAGCCCGCGGCCCAACCGCGGGACUGCAUUGGGAACUGGCGCGCUGGAGUGCCGGAGGGGUAGGCGGAAUUCCUAGUGUAGCGGUGAAAUGCGUAGAUAUUAGGAGGAACACCAGUGGCGAAAGCGGCCUACUGGACGGUGACUGACGCUGAGGCUCGAAAGCGUGGGGAGCAAACAGG
rnacentral:rRNA from 1 species